CCUACGGGAGGCAGCAGUGAGGAAUAUUGGUCAAUGGGCGUAAGCCUGAACCAGCCAAGUCGCGUGAGGGAUGAAGGUUCUAUGGAUCGUAAACCUCUUUUAUAAGGGAAUAAAGUGUGGGACGUGUCCUGUUUUGUAUGUACCUUAUGAAUAAGGAUCGGCUAACUCCGUGCCAGCAGCCGCGGUAAUACGGAGGAUCCGAGCGUUAUCCGGAUUUAUUGGGUUUAAAGGGUGCGUAGGUGGCCUGUUAAGUCAGCGGUGAAAGUCCGUGGCUCAACCAUAGAAUUGCCAUUGAUACGGGGAGGCUAGAGUAUGGUUGAGGCAGGCGGAAUGCGUGGUGUAGCGGUGAAAUGCUUAGAUAUCACGCAGAACCCCGAUUGCGAAGGCAGCCUGCCAAGCCAUGACUGACGCUGAUGCACGAAAGCGUGGGGGUCAAACAGGAUUAGAUACCCCUGUAGUC
rnacentral:rRNA from 1 species